ACGGAGGGUGCAAGCGUUAUCCGGAUUUACUGGGUUUAAAGGGUGUGCAGGCGGUAUUGUAAGUCAGUGGUGAAAGCCCAGAGCUUAACUCUGGAAUUGCCAUUGAUACUGCGAUACUUGAGUUCGGUUGAAGUAGGCGGAAUGUAGCAUGUAGCGGUGAAAUGCUUAGAUAUGCUACAGAACACCGAUUGCGAAGGCAGCUUACUAAACCGUUACUGACGCUGAUACACGAAAGCGUGGGGAGCGAACAGG
rnacentral:rRNA from 1 species